AGGCAAAAGUCAAGACAGCCACUGUGCCA
rnacentral:piRNA from 1 species